UACGAAGGGGGCUAGCGUUGCUCGGAAUUACUGGGCGUAAAGGGCGCGUAGGCGGCGCAUUUAGUCAGGCGUGAAAGCCCUGGGCUCAACCUGGGGACUGCGCUUGAUACGGGUGUGCUAGAGGACGGAAGAGGGUCGCGGAAUUCCCAGUGUAGAGGUGAAAUUCGUAGAUAUUGGGAAGAACACCGGUGGCGAAGGCGGCGACCUGGUCCGUUACUGACGCUGAGGCGCGACAGCGUGGGGAGCAAACAGGG
rnacentral:rRNA from 1 species